ACAUCACGUUGAAAUACCGGUUCCUUUACGAAGACCGAAGUUAAGCAACGUUGAACCUGGUCAGUACAUAGAUGGGUGACCGCUUGGAAAUACCAGGUGCUGUAAG